rnacentral:lncRNA from 1 species
UAACUACAAACUUUAAGUCUGACUGGGGAAAAAAAAAAUUUGGGCAAGAAUCCUCUGAAACUGGAUACUUUUCUAUGUAAGGUUUUGAAAUGCCGAAGUUGAUUUAAGCAAGUCUUCAGCUGAGCGUUUGGUGAUGCGUUGUCCGGCCGGGCUGGGCCGGGCCGUGCUGCCCGGACCCCCCAGCUCCCGCCUGGGGAGGUUGCACGAGGGCAGCCCGCGGACACGUGCUGUUUACCAGCUUCUCAGCAUGGGAAAAACAAAGCYUUUUUUCCGAAAGCUAUGGAAAACUUCUGCAGAUUAAAUCCACGCCCUCCCUCUGGGGAGGAAAACAUAAUAAACGCUAAUGUCUCAUAGCCCUUUUAUGCACCGUAUAUUAAUCACCCAGCAAGGGCUCCUGGCUUUUCCCUGUUCGCCUUUGCGUUUGCCCUGUAACUCCUGGGAGGAGUUUGGCUUUGUCUAUAAAGAGCCGCACUUUGGAGAACAUCAUAACAGAACCAAAUUUAGGAUUCACUUGCCCGUCGUCUGCUGGGAGAGAAGGCAGAAGGCAACCAUGUUUGGGUUUGGGAAGAAACUCGCCGAGGAAGCGACGCAACAAGCUGAACAUGCUGCACAGGAGGCAGUUAACACAGCGGGCCAGACUGUGCAGCAAGUAGUGGAACAGGCUAAGGAUGCUGGUCAGAAAGCUCUUGAUGAAGUCUGCAAAGUGGCUGAAACUGGUGAAAAAGCUGUGAAAAAUGUAGCAAAUCAAGCAACUGCCUGGGGAAAAAACUUUGGACAGUGAAAAUAAUGUAACACCACUGAAAUUUUUGUAAGCAAGUUUCUAUUACAUGUACUCUCAAAUAAUAAAAAACUUCAAAAUCUAUAUGGCUUGCA